rnacentral:tRNA from 1 species
GGGGGAUAGGUGUUGCCGGGGGCACGGUGGCUUUGCAAGCCGCAGGGCAGAGUUCGAGACUCUGAUUCUCCACCA